rnacentral:misc_RNA from 1 species
UACGGAGGGUGCAAGCGUUAUCCGGAUUCACUGGGUUUAAAGGGUGCGCAGGCGGAUUUGUAAGUCAGUGGUGAAAGCCCCGGGCUCAACCUGGGAAUUGCCAUUGAUACUGCAAGUCUUGAGUAUAGUUGAGGUGGGCGGAAUACAUCAUGUAGCGGUGAAAUGCUUAGAUAUGAUGUAGAACACCGAUUGCGAAGGCAGCUCGCUAAACUAUAACUGACGCUCAGGCACGAAAGCGUGGGGAUCAAACAGG